UUGAACGCUGGCGGCAGGCCUCACACAUGCAAGUCGCGCGGAUGAAGGGAGCUUGCUCCUGGAUUCAGCGGCGGACGGGUGAGUAAUGCCUAGGAAUCUGCCUGGUAGUGGGGGAUAACGUCCGGAAACGGGCGCUAAUACCGCAUACGUCCUGAGGGAGAAAGUGGGGGAUCUUCGGACCUCACGCUAUCAGAUGAGCCUAGGUCGGAUUAGCUAGUUGGUGGGGUAAAGGCCUACCAAGGCGACGAUCCGUAACUGGUCUGAGAGGAUGAUCAGUCACACUGGAACUGAGACACGGUCCAGACUCCUACGGGAGGCAGCAGUGGGGAAUAUUGGACAAUGGGCGAAAGCCUGAUCCAGCCAUGCCGCGUGUGUGAAGAAGGUCUUCGGAUUGUAAAGCACUUUAAGUUGGGAGGAAGGGCAGUAAGUUAAUACCUUGCUGUUUUGACGUUACCAAUAGAAUAAGCACCGGCUAACUUCGUG
rnacentral:rRNA from 1 species